rnacentral:sRNA from 1 species
CUCUUCUAUGCCAUUAUCUCUGGCAUCUCCCUGAGGUUCUACAACCUUUCUCUGACCCAGCAGCCAAGCCCUUUUUCCUCCAACCAAUGCUCAAUCUUUUCUGCUGGAGCUCUCCCAGUAAUUGUAGAGGACUGUUUCUGCAGGAGCGCUACUGCCUGGCCCUUGGGGAGGAGGAGCGGGCCGAGCUGCGGCUCUUCUGUGCCAGGCGGAAGCAGGAAGCCCUGGGACAGGGGGUAGCCCGCCUGGUACUUCCCAAGCUUGAAGGACACACCUGUGAGAAGUGUAGGGAGCUGCUGAAGCCAGGGGAGUACGGAGUGUUUGCAGCCCGGGCAGGCGAACAGCGCUGCUGGCACCAGCCUUGCUUUG